rnacentral:rRNA from 1 species
AUUGAACGCUGGCGGCAGGCCUAACACAUGCAAGUCGAACGAGUGGCGGACGGGUGAGUAAUGUCUGGGAAACUGCCCGAUGGAGGGGGAUCACUAAUGGAAACGGUAGCUAAUACCGCAUACCAUCGGAUGUGCCCAGAUGGGAUGAGCUAGUGGGUGGGGUAACGGCUCACCUAGGCGACGAUCCCUAGCUGGUCUGAGAGGAGGACCAGCCACACUGGAACGGAGACACGGUCCAGACUCCUACGGGAGGCAGCAGUGGGGAAUAUUGCACAAUGGGCGCAAGCCUGAUGCAGCCAGGCCGCGUGUGUGAAGAAGGCCUUCGGGUUGUAAAGCACUUUCAGCGAGGAGGCGUUACUCGCAGAAGAAGCACCGGCUAACUCCGUGCCAGCAGCCGCGGUAAUAC